CCCUUUAUUCCAGUUGACCCACUUAGCAUAUUCUUCUUAUUGUUUAACUGUACAAUUCCUCUUGGCUUCACAAUGCAUGGAAUAUUUCCCACUGGAUUUUAGGCAAGCAAUAAUCAAUCGUUGAGCCAAAUUAAAGUCUGCAAUCUUAACUCAAUCUGAGACCACCAACAGUUUUUGGAGGGGUUCAUGUCGCUAAGUCUUUUACUU
rnacentral:lncRNA from 1 species